AUGCAAGUCGAGCGCGGGAAGCAAGCAGAACCCUUCGGGGGUGACGCAUGUGGAACGAGCGGCGGACGGGUGAGUAACACGUGGGCAACCUGCCUGUAAGACUGGGAUAACUCCGGGAAACCGGGGCUAAUACCGGAUAAUACGUUUCCUUGCAUAAGGAGACGUUAAAAGGCGGCGCAAGCUGUCACUUACAGAUGGGCCCGCGGCGCAUUAGCUAGUUGGUGGGGUAACAGCCUACCAAGGCGACGAUGCGUAGCCGACCUGAGAGGGUGAUCGGCCACACUGGGACUGAGACACGGCCCAGACUCCUACGGGAGGCAGCAGUAGGGAAUCUUCCGCAAUGGACGAAAGUCUGACGGAGCAACGCCGCGUGAGUGAAGAAGGUUUUCGGAUCGUAAAACUCUGUUGUUAGGGAAGAACAAGUGCCGUUCAAAUAGGGCGGCACCUUGACGGUACCUAACCAGAAAGCCCCGGCUAACUACGUGCCAGCAGCCGCGGUAAUACGUAGGGGGCAAGCGUUGUCCGGAAUUAUUGGGCGUAAAGCGCGCGCAGGCGGUCUUUUAAGUCUGAUGUGAAAGCCCACGGCUUAACCGUGGAGGGCCAUUGGAAACUGGAGGACUUGAGUACAGAAGAGGAGAGUGGAAUUCCACGUGUAGCGGUGAAAUGCGUAGAGAUGUGGAGGAACACC
rnacentral:rRNA from 1 species